rnacentral:piRNA from 1 species
UCAGAGAAAAUAGAAUAAAUGGAUGAGGUA